GAUGAACGCUGGCGGCGUGCCUAAUACAUGCAAGUCGAGCGAACGGACGAGAAGCUUGCUUCUCUGAUGUUAGCGGCGGACGGGUGAGUAACACGUGGAUAACCUACCUAUAAGACUGGGAUAACUUCGGGAAACCGGAGCUAAUACCGGAUGAUCUUUUGAACCGCAUUGUUCAAAAGUGAAAGACGGUCUUGCUGUCACUUCUCGAUGGAUCCGCGCUGCAUUAGCUAGUUGGUAAGGUAACGGCUUACCAAGGCAACGAUGCAUAGCCGACCUGAGAGGGUGAUCGGCCACACUGGAACUGAGACACGGUCCAGACUCCUAAGGGAGGCAGCAGUAGGGAAUCUUCCGCAAUGGGCGAAAGCCUGACGGAGCAACGCCGCGUGAGUGAUGAAGGUCUUCGGAUCGUAAAACUCUGUUAUUAGGGAAGAACAUAUGUGGAAGUAACUGUGCACAUCUUGACGGUACCUAAUCAGAAGGCCACGGCUAACUACGUG
rnacentral:rRNA from 1 species